GUAAAAUGUUUUUAUUAGGGAGGCUGCGAGCCUGUUGAUGGAUGGGGCGCGAUUCGCUCUUCCGCCUGCGGGGACAGCCGGUAAACAGAAAUCAAUCAGAGGCCUCCCAACCCAGCCCCCCGCGAAAGGCGAGCUCCCAGCCCAGGGCCCCGGAGUCCAGGGCGCCCAGCUUCACCGCCCCGCCCAGGACCCAGGACUCUGGAUCCAGCACCUCCUCCAUCAGACUCCGGCGUUCAGGACCUCGGCCCCUCCUCCCUGAGGCCCAGGGGUCCAGACCAGCCCUCCCCCCUCGGGUGGCCCCCUGGUCCCCCUGGACCACAGCCACUCUCCCGCGAGCAUCCCAGGCUCUUGGGCAAAGAACAGGGCAUGGUAGAAUAAAGCUCCUCACUUCCUGGUAGCCAUGAACCAGAGCAGAGGGGAAGAUCAUCAGUGAGAGAUAUAACCUCCAAAGGGAUAACUUCAGUGACCAACCUCUUCCAGCUGACCACACCUCCUCAUAGCACAUUCAGCUAUGAGCAUGAGUGAAUUAAUCCACUGAUGAGUAAGUAUAGUGUCCUCAUGAACUUAUCACCUCUCCAAGAGGCUCCAAUGCCCUGGCCGUACUUAACUCAGAGGUCUACAUUUAUUCAAGGCCCCACACCUUGACACAAGGGUAAUCCUGAGUCAGUUGCCCCAGGAACACUCAGGUAUUAGUACUCUCAGACUCAGGGUCAGGGACAUAGCUCAGUGGAACAGCGCCUGCCUGAUAAGCUUGAGGUCCUGAGUUUGAUUUCUGGUACCAAAAAAAAAAAAAAAAAUGUUAGUCCAGACUUAGCCAUUAUGAGCAGGCACCAGGACCUCAGGCUAAGCAAAAAGACUGGAGUGAUACUUCCUGCCACCUCAGACUAAAAAAGAUAAUUCUCAGCCUCACCAUCUCCAGCUGUGCCCCCAAUCUCUGUACCCCAAGCUGGGCUGUCUCUGUCACCUGGAACUGAGAGACUAUAUUGCUCCAGACCUGACAAUAGGUGGAUAAUGUCUGCCACUUCGAGAUAGGCAUCACACACUAGCAACCUGAGCACCCAGUUCCCAACCAAGAUUGUACAAGUAAAUUUCCAGACUUUUCCAGUCUAGCACCUAAAAAAAAGUCUUUGGAUGCCAGAUUCUGUCCAACAACCUACACUACUAGACCCCAUUAUUUUACCCAAAAUGAACCUAAACCCCCCAUAUUAUUCAGCUUUCCCAUUACUAGGACACAAUACCAGACACCCACAACUUAAAGUCAGAAAGGUUUAGUUUGGUCCAUGUGUCCAGGGAACUUAGUCCAUGGUCAGCUAGCUCCAAGGCAGAAAAAUCAUGUCAGAAUGGCAUGGUAGAGCAAAGACGCGUAGUUCAUGGCAGGCAGGAAGCAAAGCCAGGGAACAGUACAAGAAAAGAAGGGGCCAGGGACCUUAUAGAGUACCCAAGGUCAUGUGAUCCAGACACACCUAGAAUUAUGCUUUACUAAAUCCCUAUGCUUUACUAAAUCCCUAGUAAUUAUGCUUUACUAAAUCCCUAUGCUUUACUAAAUCCCUCCCACUCCAGUCAAGUUGACACUUAGGCUUAUCCACCACCUCACCCACAGGAGACAAUGAGCACCCAUUCUCCAUCACUCCAAAUAUACCCAGGGACCCUAACCUCUGUCCCACAAAACUAGGCAUCCAGACUUCCAGAGUCAGUCAACCCCCACAGUCCUUGGUACCUCAGAUUCAUCCCACAAAACUAACUAACAAACCCUCGGUUUUUGUCACCACAGACACACCUUGGGACCUGCCUCUGUCAUUACAAACUGGACAGUUAAGUUCCUACUCUCCUCCACCCCAAGCUAGAUAAACAAACUCCCAUGUGAUUGUCCCAAACUGGACACCUGGGCCUCCAUUAUGUAGUCCCCACAGCCAUUCGGCCAGGCCCUAGCACAUCUGCUAUCCAAGCAGGCAACCAGACCUGGAGUUUCUGCACCCUUACACUAGCCAACUUCUUUCCCAAGCUCUCUCAUCCUAAGCCAAGUCCCUACACUCCAGUGUCACUACUCCAAACUAGAUAAUAGUUUCUUGGUCUCUAUAACCCCAAGCUGGGCCUUUGACCUUAGGGUCUCUACCCUUCCAAAAGAGAUAACCAGAGUACAAGUCUCAGGUCGCCCUAUGGAGUUCAGGAGACCCCAAUUUCUGUUGCUCUACACUUGUCAUUGAGCCCUCAUUAUGGUAUCCCAAACUAUAAAUUUCAGUUUCUUAACGUAGCUGUCACCCCAAAACAGGUUAGACCCUAUUUGCCCUAAGGUAGGACCGGGAGUCCCAGUGUGAUCACUCAAAACUAGACAGUUACACCGCAACCUGUCACCCGUAUUAGUCUCUUUCCCAUCUCAGGGACAAAAUAUGUGACACCUGUAACUUAGAAGAGAGGUCUAUUUUGGCCCAUGGUUUCAAAUUGUUCAGUACAUUGUUGGCUAGCUCCAAGGCAAAAAUAGCAUGGCGGCAGGACAUAGCCAGGACAGCUGCUCACCUCACCAGCCAGAAUCAGAGAAAGAUAAGAGAAGCGCUAAGGACAGAAUACACCCUUCCAGAUCAGGCCCUACCUCCUAGCAGUACAGGAACUCAUCAAAAAAUUAAUCUGCUGAUGUAUAGUGUCCCCAUGAUCCAGUUACCUUCCAAAAGCUCCACCUCUGAACACCUGAGGCUUUCGGGGGACAUCUUAAUUUGAACCAUAAUACACCCCAAAGCAGACCUUAGCAUCCCAGCCCAGAUAGGAACCCGUCUCUGACACCUCCAACCACUCCAGUUCGUGUCACUUCCAACAGAUAAGAAUCCCUUAUCUGUCACUUAAAAUGCGACAGCUGGACCCACUGUGUCUUUAACCUCAAACUAUGUUAGCAGGCAUUCCCCAAACUACGAUAUGAGACACCCCCGCAAGGUGCUAUCACUUCUCGCUAGGUAAUGAGACCUCCUCCCUAGUCUCUGUUGUCCUAAAUUACAUAACAGGACUCUCAGGCUCUGUCCCCACCAGCCAGAACCUCAGAACUCUAGCCCACUGCAGCUCCAAACUAGGCAGCAUCACCUGUCUCUCCUGCCUAAGGUAGGAAUGACGCUUAUUGGGUGGAGACACCCUACCAAGGGGGCCCCUUAUCUCGUCACCCGAAAACUAGAGUCUGGAUUCUCUGCCUCACCACUCAAAAUUUGCCACCCAGACACUCGGGCCUCAGGAAUCCUAGUCUGUGUCAUCUGACCACUCAUCUUAAAUUUGAUAAUAGAUCCAUUCGUUACCCCAAACCAGAAGCCAAUGCCGUCAGCCCAAACAAGACAGAUUCCCAAACUGUCACCUCCUGCCAGCCAACCAAACCCCUGGCGCUCUCCACAAAAUAAACAACCAGACCUUUAGUUUUGUCCCCUAGAUGAGAGAACAAGCCCUCCUGUGUGUGAUUCCAAACCAAAUAUUUUAAUCCCAAGGUCAUUUGGAGGAGACAGGUGGGGAAAUGGGCCCCCAGUCUUCACCAACCCCAACAGAAGCUUCUAGUCUCAGCCUCUCAGUGAAUCAAGGACUCCCCAGAUUUGGCCUUUGGGCUGAGUGUCAACAUCCCCCUACCCUCAGCCAGCCUGCUGACUCUGCGCCCCAGUGAUCUGUCUCAAGUGUGUAGUCACCUCCAAAUAAGAC
rnacentral:lncRNA from 1 species